AUUCCGCACACAGUAAUGCAACAGUUAUACAAAUGUUCGACCGGCAUGGCGAAGGUCCUCUUCCAUUAGGAUUUUCUCCUACACAUUGUCAACAGUACACAAAGAUACAAACCGGAAGUAUGUAUUUUAAUGUUACUUCACUUGGCAACAAAUGUUGUAUUUUAAAGGAUUCUUCAGUAUGUGUCAUCGAAAACAUAUUAGAAAUGAAUGAAACGUACCAUUUUGUGGUAAAGAAAUUCGAAAUUAUGGAAGAUUUUUAUGAUGUGGGUAUUUCAUCAUCAUCAUUAGAUAUUUAUAAAUGCUCUGCGUUAUCAAGCGAUUUUUAUGUAAUACCUAUUACUGAUGUGCGGGCAAAAUGUUACAUGAUGUUAUAUUGGAAAACUAUUGAUGACGAGAGUUCUGAUUCCAGCAGUGAUUCCGAAACCGAUAAGCCGGUUCCUGGUGAAUAUGUUAUAUCAGUUCUUUUAUAGGAACUUACUUUUAUAGGAACCUACAGUAACAAAGAAACACUAAAGGAGAUAAUGAAAAAUAAAAGAGCAAAAACAUGAGUAUAUACACAAUCCAAUAUUAUUAAAUAAAAGUAAUGAAUGAAUGUUUCCUCGAAAUAACUCAAAUUAUAUAUAAAACUUGUAUAGUAUUCUAACAUAGUAAUAUUAUUCGUAACACUGUACAUAUUCCACUCUUACAAGUUCCUUACUGUAUUAUAUUUUAUUAGUGUAUAAAUUAUAUUACUAAUUUUGUGUAAAUAAAAUUAAACAAGAUACGUCUAUUAAUGCAUUGGUCAAGCGUAUAAAUUACAUUGUCAAAAUAUGAUGAUAUUGAUUUCUCUUAUCAAUGCAGAGAUAAUCCAUUUAAAAAUCUGUAAUAUUUGUACGCAACAAAAUGUUUGAUAGCUGAUAAGAACAGUAGAAAUCGCCAUUAAAAAGGUAGUGAGACUCAUUGAAAGAUGAAUAACCAACGCAAAACUCAUAUACGUCGUAAACAAGCAUUCCUUUCUAAGGCUGGAGUUGCUAACUAUAAGGUUCAGAAGUUGAAACAAUUUCGUUUAAGUCAAAACAUUCAACGUCCUACGAGGAAUAUUACAAAACCAAAGAGGUAUGUGACG